rnacentral:rRNA from 1 species
AGUGAACACUGGCGGUAGGCCUAACACAUGCAAGUCGAACGGCAGCACAGUAAGAGCUUGCUCUUACGGGUGGCGAGUGGCGGACGGGUGAGGAAUACAUCGGAAUCUACUUUUUCGUGGGGGAUAACGUAGGGAAACUUACGCUAAUACCGCAUACGACCUACGGGUGAAAGCAGGGGAUCUUCGGACCUUGCGCGAUUGAAUGAGCCGAUGUCGGAUUAGCUAGUUGGCGGGGUAAAGGCCCACCAAGGCGACGAUCCGUAGCUGGUCUGAGAGGAUGAUCAGCCACACUGGAACUGAGACACGGUCCAGACUCCUACGGGGGGCAGCAGUGGGGAAUAUUGGACAAUGGGCGCAAGCCUGAUCCAGCCAUACCGCGUGGGUGAAGAAGGCCUUCGGGUUGUAAAGCCCUUUUGUUGGGAAAGAAAAGCAGCAGGUUAAUACCCCGCUGUUCUGACGGUACCCAAAGAAUAAGCACCGGCUAACUUCGUG